rnacentral:tRNA from 1 species
GGAGGGAUGGCCGAGCGGCUUAAGGCGGCGGUCUUGAAAACCGCUUCUCCCGAAAGGAGACGGGGGUUCGAAUCCCUCUCCCUCCGCCA